rnacentral:rRNA from 1 species
CAGCCGCCGCGGUAAUACGAAGGGUGCAAGCGUUAAUCGGAAUUACUGGGCGUAAAGCGUGCGCAGGCGGUCCGCUAAGACAGACGUGAAAUCCCCGGGCUUAACCUGGGAACUGCAUUUGUGACUGGCGGGCUAGAGUAUGGCAGAGGGGGGUAGAAUUCCACGUGUAGCAGUGAAAUGCGUAGAGAUGUGGAGGAAUACCGAUGGCGAAGGCAGCCCCCUGGGCCAAUACUGACGCUCAUGCACGAAAGCGUGGGGAGCAAACAGGAUUAGAUACCCCUGUAGUCCCUGUCUCUUAUAC